UCAUCAGGUAUUGUAACAUCUUACCUGUGGGCCUUCGGGCCCCCAGAACAUGAUGACAUCCGGAGAAUGAUGGUGGUGAGUUAAACUCCGGGGGUGCGGAGGGAGUGCAACACCCUCUGACACUCGUGUCUGAU
rnacentral:snoRNA from 1 species